CAGACAGACAGACAGAGGGAGUCCUGGAUGAAUGGCAAACCCUUCAGAUUCUAAUUUGUUUCUCAAUCAGUUGCUUCCUCGUGUGAAAUGAGGGGACAGACAGCUGAUCUUUCUGAGCUGCCCAUGGCUGGGACCACUGCCUCCAUUCCCAACACCCUGCUGGGGACCCCGCCUUCCAAAGAACAUGCCCCAGGCACACAGGUGAGCUCCCGCCAUGCACUCCCCGUGAAAGGGAAGCCGUCUGGAGGCAGUGUGGCACCUGAAGACGCUGGAGCUGCUGCUGUCAGGGACACACGCCCUGCCCAUUCAUCUGCCUUCUGCGCCGGGAGCCCCCGCAGAUGCGGAAGAUGCAGGGAAUGAUUCAGCCCCAGCCUUAAACAUCAAAUAGCAAAUGAAUAGCAUCAUAAGAAGUCAAGAGAAAGACCAUGGAAGAAAGAAGAAACUUUAACAGCGCUUUUUUCAUGAUCUUUGAACAAGGAGCUCUAAAUUAUCAUUUUGCACUGGCUCUGUCCCAGCUCAUGUUUGUUGAGUGAAUAAAUAAAUAAAUAAAUGCAUACAUACAUAUUUAUUAGUACAUGGAACACACUGAUUAUCUUCCAUUUCCUAACAACACUGUAUGUAAUCAGGAUUGCAGGCAUGUUAUGAAAUACUAGAAUAGCUGAAUAUUAAAAUUAUUCUGGAAUCA
rnacentral:lncRNA from 1 species